rnacentral:rRNA from 1 species
ACACAUGCUAGUCAAACGGCAGCACGGGCUUCGGCCUGGUGGCGAGUGGCNAACGGGUGAGUAAUACAUCGNAAACUUGCCCUGUCNUGGGGGAUAACUAUUUCAAAAAAUUACCUAAUACCNCAUACAACCUNAGGGUNAAANCGGGGGACCGUNAGGCCUCUCCCNACAGGAGCGGCC